rnacentral:snRNA from 1 species
GUCCCUUUUCGUACAUCCGAUAAAAUUGGAACGAUACAGAGAAAAGAUCUCACAUAACCCCUGCAUAAGGAUGAUACAAACAAAUCCAGAAAUGAUCCAAAUUUUC